GAUUAACGCGAAGAACCUUACCAGGUCUUGACAUCUUCUGCUAACCUAAGAGAUUAAGCGUUCCCUUCGGGGACGGAAUGACAGGUGGUGCAUGGUUGUCGUCAGCUCGUGUCGUGAGAUGUUGGGUUAAGUCCCGCAACGAGCGCAACCCUUAUUGUCAGUUGCCAGCAUUUAGUUGGGCACUCUGGCGAGACUGCCGGUGACAAACCGGAGGAAGGUGGGGAUGACGUCAAAUCAUCAUGCCCCUUAUGACCUGGGCUACACACGUGCUACAAUGGACGGUACAAAGGGCUGCAAUACCGUAAGGUGGAGCGAAUCCCAAAAAGCCGGUCUCAGUUCGGAUUGAGGUCUGCAACUCGACCUCAUGAAGUCGGAGUCGCUAGUAAUCGCAGAUCAGCAACGCUGCGGUGAAUACGUUCCCGGGUCUUG
rnacentral:rRNA from 1 species